AAAUUGAAUCUUAGAAUUAAUUUACAUUGAACCCCUCAUCUUACAGAUGAAGAAAGUGAAGGCCAAAGAGAUAAAGUGAUUUACUGAAGACUACACUAGUAAUAAGCACCAGAACUAGAAAGUGAAGCCAUCUUCUGAUUCCAAAUGAAGUAUUCUUUCCAUGAUGAGAAACUGAGGCAAACAAGAUAAAAUGAUGGUUAAUAAAUGUCUAAGACCAGAUUUGAAUUAAGGAAGAUGAGCCUUCCCUACUCCAACCCAGCAAUAAACACUGCACCACCUGCUUGCCCUAGCUAGAAAAGGAUGCAACAUUCUCAAGGCCUAAUUCAGCCAUGGAAAACAUGCUCAGCUCGAGCAGAAGCCCAAUGCAAUGCUGUGGAAGCUGCAUACUGAACAAAGAACCAUGUUCUCAACAUCAAGAUUCUAAUAACAUGGAAUAAUCUAGAAAG